rnacentral:rRNA from 1 species
UACAGAGGUCCCAAGCGUUGUUCGGAUUCACUGGGCGUAAAGGGCGCGUAGGCGGCCUUCUUAGUCGGACGUGAAAUCCCCGGGCUUAACUCGGGAACUGCGUCCGAUACUGGAAGGCUGGAGUUCGGGAGAGGAAUGUGGAAUUCCAGGUGUAGCGGUGAAAUGCGUAGAUAUUGGGAAGAACACCGAUGGCGAAGGCAGCCAUCUGGACCGACACUGACGCUGAGGCGCGAAAGCGUGGGGAUCAAACAGG